rnacentral:rRNA from 1 species
UACAGAGGUCUCAAGCGUUGUUCGGAUUCAUUGGGCGUAAAGGGUGCGUAGGUGGCGCCGUAAGUCAGGUGUGAAAUUUCGGAGCUUAACUCCGAAACUGCAUUUGAUACUGCGGUGCUUUGAGGACUGGAGAGGAGCUGGAAUUUACGGUGGUAGCAGUGAAAUGCGUAGAGAUCGUAAGGAAGACCAGUGGCGAAGGCGGGUCUCUGGACAGUUCCUGACACUGAGGCACG